GCUCGACUGAGGGCUCUGUUUCCCGAGUAGCCGUUGUGUCCAGGUCUGAGUUCCCGCCAGGAGCUCUGCAGGGACUGGCUGCUGCCUCCUGGGCCCAGCAUACAUUGAUCCUGUCUCAGUGGCAGCAGGGCUGACCCAGGGCUCGGCCACUCCCCCACCCGCCUCAGAGUCACCAGGAGGCCACCCUCAGGCUGCUUGGGCCUGUUCACGUCUGUGUAUUCAGUACACCUGUCCCCUCUUCUCUCCUGACCUUGGGCUUCUUUUGACAGCAGCCUUGUGCUUCCCUGAAGUCCAGAAUUUUGAUUGGAGCCUUUCUGAUGCCAUCUGAAGUUGGGCUCCUCCCUUCGCUGAGUUUCACAGGCUGCUUAGUCGUGGUCGCUGCAGGGUGUGCUGGAAGGCGUCUCAUGAAGGCCAGACCUUCUCACACCGCCUUCAGCUCUUCUAGAGUUGGUUAUUUAGUUCUUUGCUGCGCCCCUCCCCUGACUCAGGCAAUGGCAAGGCCCUACUGAGGUGGAUGGCCCAAGGCGUCCAUCCUCUGGAGGAGCACAGUAUGUUUCUGGGAAUGGGCUGGUUUGUUUUUGUAUUCCUUUAAUAAGUAUAGUCGCGACUUCUCAUAUGACCAUUAAGUAUGAAGGAAAAAACAUGACUUUCCCAAUUAAUGCAACUACUUCUAAAGAAUAGAUCUGUUUGCUCUAAAUGAAAUGAUUCAGCUGUGGAGCGUAAAUUGUUAAUGUUUAAUGAAAAACUCCUUGUAUUCCUGUCAAGGAAGUUUUUGAGAAAUAAAAUUAAAAUCUAGAGAAGAAGAAUUAAUGUUAAGAAGACAGAUUAGUGCUUGGUACUGGGCAAUUUGUUCUUGUUCCUGUGCACAAUGGUUUGUGUUCUUACUCUUGUUUGAUUAAAAUUAAUAACAAGUUAACCACUUGCCAUAAUCAUGGCACCGGUUCCAG
rnacentral:lncRNA from 1 species